rnacentral:misc_RNA from 1 species
GAAAUGCGAUAAUUAAUGUGAAUUGCAGAAUUCAGUGAAUCAUCGAGUCUUUGAACGCACAUUGCGCCCCCUGGUAUUCCGGGGGGCAUGCCUGUCCGAGCGUCAUUGCUGCCCUCAAGCACGGCUUGUGUGUUGGGCUUCCGUCCCUGGCAACGGGGACGGGCCCAAAAGGCAGUGGCGGCACCAUGUCUGGUCCUCGAGCGUAUGGGGCUUUGUCACCCGCUCCCGUAGGUCCAGCUGGCAGCUAGCCUCGCAACCAAUCUUUUUAACCAGGUUGACCUCGGAUCAGGUAGGGAUACCCGCUGAACUUAAGA